rnacentral:misc_RNA from 1 species
UGGCUCUCGCAUCGAUGAAGAACGCAGCGAAAUGCGAUAAGUAAUGUGAAUUGCAGAAUUCAGUGAAUCAUCGAAUCUUUGAACGCACCUUGCGCUCCUUGGUAUUCCGAGGAGCAUGCCUGUUUGAGUGUCAUGGUAUUCUCAAUUCCUUCAGUUUUUGCUGGAGUGAUAUUGGAUUUGGAGGUUAUUGUUGGCAGUCAUUGAUAUGUCAGCUCCUCUUAAAUAUAUCAGUGUGAAUGUUCACUUUGCACUCAGUGUGAUAAUUAUCUACACUGUGUGGGAGUGAUAUAAUUUUACGCUUCUAACUGUCGCAAGACACCACUUUGACUUUCUGACCUCAAAUCAGGUAGGAUUACCCGCUGA